CAGGAGCAGCUGGGAGAAAACCCAGUGUCUGUGGGAAAAAAAAGAGAAGGCAAGAUUGGAGGGAGGGAAAAGAAAGGGGGAGGAGCCAGCAGCGCAGGCCGUUGUCACAAGGGAGCUCAGGGUCCACCUCUGAUUGGUUCUGCUUCCAGUCCACUCCCAGGCCAUGAUCCACACCCCCGACCCCUUCUGAGACAGCAGCUAUCUCUUAUAAAGUGAAAUUCGCCAAAUUUAGAAAUGAAAACACAGUAGUCCUGGGCACAAGGAUGCUAAGGGAGCCUCCUGUCGACCAGUGUCAUGGCAGCUUUCAUAUGCGAUCUCCGAGGCCCAGGGGACAAGAAAUUGUAGUGGGCGUUCCCUAGGACCUUUGAACAAGGAAUAGUUUGGACUUUUAAUCUGGAGUGAACUACAAUCCAGAUAUGGAGGGCACACUUGGGAUCCAGAUCCUGAGACUGCAAGACACAGGCUUUUGAUCUUGAGGAACAGUGGCCAUGAAAAGCUUACGUCCAAUCAUAGUGGCACACACCUUUAAUCCCAGGAGACAGAGACAAGCAGAUUUCUGAAUUCAAGGCCAGCCUUGUACAGAACAAGUUCCACGUAGAGAAAAGCUUAAAUUCAGGUGUGCAGUACAAUACAUACCUUUGAUCCCAGCAUUCAGGAGAUAGAGCCAUGCAGAUCUGAGUUCAAGGUCAAUCUACAGAGCAAGUUUCAGGACAGCCAAGCUUAGGCAGUGAGGGAGUUGGAAAACAGAAAAUCGGUAAUAGAAUAAGGGGGUGGGGGGUAUGUUCCAGCCCCAACAAGCAGCAGACUUCAGGAGCUUCAUCCAUGUAGCUCUGGCUUUAGAGUUCAGAGUAGAAGGGACUAUUGGGACAAUUGAUGCUGGUUAGCUAGAGCUAAGAAAUUAGCAGUGAUUAAGAAGAGACCAGCAUCAGCCGGGCGUGGUGGCACAUGCCUUUAAUCCCAGCACUCGGGAGGCAGAGGCAGUCGGAUUUCUGAGUUCGAUGCCAGCCUGGUCUACAAAGUGAGCUCCAGGACAGCCAGGACUAUACAGAGAAACCUUGUCUCGAAAAACCAAAAAAAAAAAAAAAGAAGAAGAAGAAGAGACCAGCAUCACUGAGGUGAAAUCUGGCAAGUGUUUCCUGAGAGCACAAAUAAUCUGUGUUCCAGAAAUGGUCAAGAUUGUACCUCGUGCUGCAGCUGGACUUUGUAAUGUGUAACAGUCACCCAGUAGGUACUGGUUGUGAAGAUAUGAAGGGGUCAUGAAGAGCAGCUGAGGCUUGGUACUGUGAAGGCCAUUAGUGAAAGUGCAGCCUCAGUUGUAGUUGGUGGCCUAGGACUGAAGGAAUCAUGCAAAGAAGUUGAGGUUUGGCAGCACGAAGAGAGCCUAAUGGUAAAGCCCAAUUUCAGUGGAAGCCCCCAGUGUAUUGGAGAUGCCAUGGCAUGAUCACCAAGAACAGCAGCAGCAGUGGAGUGGAAUCAACCAGAGCCUCAGAGGGCAGAGCUGGAGAAGUGACGCCAGCCCUUUGGAGGAGUCCAGAUCAUGUGUAGAUUCCAGACAUUGGAACAAGAAGGUGUAACGUUAAGGUUGCCUUGGAGACCCCAAGAUCAAGAUGUUCGAGAAAUCCAGAGCCAUAGGAUAUCUGCUGAGGAAAGCUGCCAACAGAAAGUGGAACACUGGUUCCAGGAGAAAGAAGUUUAUUGCAGUCAACAAAGAUGUAAAAGGAGUUGGAGAUCUGAAUACUGCCUUGGUAUCAGAUAUGCAAAUGCAGAGUUUGGAGUUUGCUCAGCUCAUUUCCUGACCUGCUUUGAGGUUACAGUAAAGUGACUGGAUUAAUCUCAAAAGAGACUUUGAACUUUAGAUUUUUAACAUUGUUGAGACUGCUGUAGACUAUGGUGUCUUUAGAAGAUGGACUAAAUAUUUUUCAUUAUGUUAUGCUUAGCUAUGGCCCCCGUAGACUCAUGUUUCAACAAGCCAAUGGGGGCCAGGGAGUAGAAUGUGGUGGUCUAUAUUUGCUUGGGCCAAGGAGUGGCUAUUUGAAGGUGUGGCUCUCUAUGCAGCCCUUUCUUUGGAGGUCAGAGGAUGAUUUCACAGGUCCUUCCAUAACAAGGGACCCAUUCUUCCCACAUCUCCUUUUGCUCUUCAAGCACAGUUACAGGAAAUAUUUUUCCAGACCAAAAAUCACUUUAUCAUGUAAUUUUUAAAAAUGUAGCUUUCUCUAAUUUUAAGCAAUAACGUUUUAGUCUAACUUUUCAUUAAACAGGGACAGAGUAAUAUGGAGUUGGCCAGGUAUGGUGUAGCACACUUGUUUUGUAUGUUUAUUUAUUUGUUUGUUUUUUCGAGACAGGGUUUCUCUGCGUAGCCCUGGCUGUCCUGGAACUCACUUUGUAGACCAGGCUGGCCUGGAACUCAGAAAUCCGCCUGCCUCUGCCUCCCGAGUGUUGGGAUUAAAGGCGUGCACCACCAUGCCCGGCUGUGUAGCACACUUGUAAUGCCAGAACUUGGAGGUGGAGACAACGCGGAUCAGAACAUGGAGCCCAGUCUGACCUGUAUGAGAAUCUGACUUGUUGGGAAAUCAUUUUCAAAUUCACAAAGGGUUCUAUUACAGUUACUAAGACUCAAAAUAAUAAAUCCAUGUUCCAGGACACAGAA